GGCUGGUUUUGACUGUCACAAUGCUUUAUCCUCCACGCUGUAAGCAGGAUCCUGUGGCCACCAUCUCAAGACUUAACCCCAUGAAUCAACAAAAAGAAAAAUAAAUUAAUUGGCCAAGCAAUUCCUCUUCAUAUCAUACUGUGCUAUUCCUCAUUCCUGCAUAACAUUGUCUUCUCUGGAUAAAUAACAUUUGACUUUCACAUUUUGAGACCUGCUUCUAGAUGCCUUUCAGAUUGCUGUACCUCACCAGUUUGUUAUCAUGGACGCCUAUCUCAGAAGGAUGCUUUAAAAACUUCUGUUUAUUUCAGUCUCACAGGCUGCUCUGACGUGCAGAUAUCUGCAAAUCUGUAAGGUAUGAAUCAUCUCACACAUUGCCGAGGUGAAACCUGACAACUAUUUAACAGCACCACUGCAACACUAUGGAACAUUUUAAGACAGGAAAUUAAGAAUACCUGAGCCAACGAAAGCCACAGGGGAAAGUUUAGAUGGACAGAAUUUAAUUACCCAUGCUGGAACUUGGCCAGGACACCAGAACUUACACCCCAACCCUCCUGUAAAGUGCCAUCGGACCCUUAAUGCUAACAAAUGGUCGCAACAUCAGCUUUAGAUCUGCUCCAAAUGAGAACAGCACUAAAAGUCAUCCAAGACCUUCUGAGGUAUUCAUUUACUAGUGACUGACAGAAAAGGGUACAACAUACCUAAUCACACAAAACAGCUAUAGCACAACAUGAAAAAUACCUUCCCUAGCAGCACUGGAGGCUAUUCUCUCGACACAGCUCAAUAUUUUUAGAAGAACUCGGU
rnacentral:lncRNA from 1 species